UAAAAGGGGCGGGAGGGCGCAGGCACGUUCUUUUUGCGCGGCGGUGGCUGAGGUUACUUGAUGCUCUGGUCAGUGCAAGUUGAGGAAUGAAAUGGACCAGAAGAGCUCACUUCCGUUGUUGGCAUCAAAACAGCUGUAAAGCUUAUUAAUUCAAAUGCAGAGGCUUUAAUUUGGAUUUACUUUAAAGCAUGUGAGACCUGUUAUGCGUUUUGAAUGAAACAUGAAAGGUAUAAUGUAUGAGUGAAAUGUAAGUUAUUAAAAAAGUGAAACAAUUUGUGCUGUUUUUAAUGUAUGAGACUUGCCUAUUGAGUCACAUAACAUGUCAAAGAUAAGUGUUCACUCCUGGGUGAAGGUUGUUUGUGCAGAUGGAACUUUCUGGAGUGCUAGUCUAAACUGCCAUAAAACUCACUAUUGUUUCAAGGGCAGGGGGCAUUUCUUUGACUUUAUCUUUACAAAUAAUAAUAUAUAGAACAUAAUACAUUAAAUGGUUAAAACAGGAA